rnacentral:tRNA from 1 species
AGGGAAUUAGCUCAAGUGGUAGAGUGCUUGCUUUGCAUGUAAAAGGCAGUGGGAUCAAUACCUACAUUCUCCA